rnacentral:tRNA from 1 species
CGGGACGUGGCUCAGCCCGGCUAGAGCACUUGCUUGGGGUGCAAGGGGUCAGCGGUUCAAAUCCGCUCGUCCCGACCA